ensembl:lncRNA
CGUGAUCAGCAGCAAACGAACCGAGCACCGAUACAUUUGCUUCGCCUUGCACUGGUUCAUAUUUCGACACAAGCUUCGAAGCAGGAGGGUCGGAGGUAACAACACUAGUUUUUAGUUGUCUAGGAAUAUUUUUGAAUUACUGUCAAGCCUAUGGAAAUAUCUGCUCUUUGCAAGUAAAGAAACCUUUUUUGACUCACUAAAAAACGACUUGUCCCUCUCUGUCUCUGUACUUGAGUCACCACCACUCGUAGCACAGUGGUAGGCAAUCCGCCUGCUGCACGGAGACCCAGGUUCGGAUCCCGACGAUCCUGACACCGUUGUGCUUUAUGAUUUGUUGAAGUGUUUUCCUAUUUGCUGAUUGGGCGACAGUGGCGCAUGGUGUAGAGAAGGUGCGCUGGGAAGUGCAAGGUUGGUGGUUCAAACCCCGGUUGCUCCAUGUCCUGUGUCGAAAUGUCCCUGAGCAAGACAGUUAACCCCUAAUUGCUCCCCGGACUAAGAUGUAAAAAGCCAUGGGUUAAAAAUGCAAUGUAAGUUGCUUUGGAUAAAAGCGUUAGCUAAAUGACAUACUACUGUAGGGAUGUAGGUAAAAGUUUGGUGAAGUUAGAUGAGUGAUAACGAGCAGGACCGGCAAGCAGCUAACCAUGGCAUGGCGGCUAACACUCCCAGCGCUACGUUUAACAUCCAGCCGCCGGCAGGGGCGGACUUACCAUUAGGCGAAACUAGGCGGUUGCCUAGGGCCCCAAGGUCCUGAGGGGCCCCGUAAAAAUCCUCAUACACUUAUGGUUGAUAAAGUUAUUACUUAUUCGCGCAUAUUAAUUAUAUUUAUGAUUAAAAUUCUCUCGCUAAAAUGCCAACGGAAUGCGUAUCGUAUUAUGUGUGUGUCGGGGCCCCCCUUCAGUGUCCACUACAUUGGAUCAGUCCAUCUUUGCUGCGCAUGUGCAGAACGGAUCCAAGAAACGGUCAAAACGAACGGCGCGAAAUGGCGAAAGACAGUAAGAGGACAGUAUCACACGGAUCAAGCGAAGCGACCCCGAAAAGAGGAGGAAGAAGGAAGAAAAACAAACGUCAAAGUUGCAGAAAGUGACAAGUUUCUUCACCGCUCCUGCGGCAGCGGCCAGCAGCAGCAACCCACAACCUGCUCAACCGACACGGACACCUGAGGAGGAUGAACCAAAAUCUUCUCAUUUCAGAGGGCCCCAUGCCUGCCUUUGCCUUGGGCCCCAAAUUUCUUAAAUCCGCCACUGGACGCUGGAGCCCUUUUCCUAGCCGAACGACUGGAGGAAAUGGAUUCGGAGAUUUGAGAGAUUCCAUCAGGCAAGUAACCAGAGGUUACAAGCUCCGAAGUCAACCAGCAGCCUGUUCUCCAGAAAGCAGAGAAAGUCAAGGAAGAGCUCUAGCGAAUGGACGAGCCAACAGACUGGUGUGCCGGUUCGGCGGUCGUACCAAAGAAAAACAGUCCACGCCUGAGACUGUGUGUGCACUAUACUGGCUUGAAUGAGUUGAGUGAAAAGUACAUUCUGCCGUCUGUAGAUCAGUCCCUCGGAAUGCUUGCCGGAGCAAAAGUGUUCAGUAAAUUGGAUGCUUGCAUAGGGUUCUGGCAUAUUCCCUUAGCCGAAGAGUCAGUCAUGUACACCACAUUCAUAACACCCAUCGGGCGGUUCCACUUUAACCGCCUUCCCUUCGGCAUCAACUCAGCACCCGAAUGCUUUUCAGUGCAUAAUGGCCGACGUCAUAGAGGGGUUGGAGGGUGUGGUCUGCCACAUGAAUGACUUACUAGUGUUGGGGGCGGGACCAAGACCAGCACGACACUUGAAUCCAUGUUGUGCUGCAAAGAGUGUAGAAAGCAGGCAUCUGCGGAAAUUCAUUCCUUGGCUGACUGAAAAAGACAAAGCACUCCGGGACCUCCUCUCAAAAAUGAACUGCUGAGUGUGGGACACGGACCAGGUAAUGGCGCUUAAGGAGCUGAAGGAGGCACGUGCUUCUCCAGUGCUGGCCAUGCAUGAGCCAAACAGACACUAAAGUAUCUGCCGAGGCAUCUUCGUAUGGCUUGGGAGGCUUUAUUCUCCAGAAGGUGGAUGGUGAA